rnacentral:rRNA from 1 species
UGCGCAGCUACCAUGCAGUCGAGCGGUAACAGGAGAAAGCUUGCUUUCUUGCUGACGAGCGGCGGACGGGUGAGUAAUGUAUGGGGAUCUGCCCGAUAGAGGGGGAUAACUACUGGAAACGGUGGCUAAUACCGCAUAAUGUCUACGGACCAAAGCAGGGGCUCUUCGGACCUUGCACUAUCGGAUGAACCCAUAUGGGAUUAGCUAGUAGGUGGGGUAAAGGCUCACCUAGGCGACGAUCUCUAGCUGGUCUGAGAGGAUGAUCAGCCACACUGGGACUGAGACACGGCCCAGACUCCUACGGGAGGCAGCAGUGGGGAAUAUUGCACAAUGGGCGCAAGCCUGAUGCAGCCAUGCCGCGUGUAUGAAGAAGGCCUUAGGGUUGUAAAGUACUUUCACCGGGGAGGAAGGUGAUAAGGUUAAUACCCUUGUCAAUUGACGCUACCCGCGGAAAUAGAACUCGCUAACUCAGAGUCUUCCUCCG